rnacentral:misc_RNA from 1 species
GAGGAGAACAAAAGAAAUCAAUGAAAAGAAAAAGGAAAUCUAAGGGUGUGUUUGAUAACACCACAUGUUAGAUUUUAGUUUUUGGAAAACAAACUGUUGAGAGUUUUUAUUGUUUGUUUCUUAUAAACUGUUUUUAGUUUUAUAAAGUAACCAUGAAUGCAGCAACCAUUUACAGCCUUAAAAAUCUUUGCCAAAACAAGAGUCUGCUUUGAAGUCAUUUUAUCAAAUGCCUUGACAGCAUAAUCAUAACAUUCUGUUAUUCUCAAAAUGUAGCCUACAAAAUCAAAAUAGGAAAUUUGUUCUCACGAUAGAAUGCAUUCUAUCCAACAUUUAAUUAUAUAUAUGAAAAAACUUUCCACUAUCAAAAUUCAAAUCUAUUAAAAAGACCUAGCCACUUGACCUAAAUCCAACAGUAACACAUUUGUAAGAAAUUAAAGGGAAUUUUGUUGUGAUAUUUUGUUUUAAUCUCUGGUAAAUAAGAGAGUGAUUCUUCUUUCCAU